AACGAACGCUUGCGGCGCGCCUAAUACAUGCAAGUCGAGCGAGAAAGUACUUCGGUAUGAGUAAAGCGGCGGACGGGUGAGGAACACGUAGAUAAUCUGCCUUAGAGUGGGGGAUAACUAAUCGAAAGAUUAGCUAAUACCGCAUAAGACCACAAGGGCCUCGGCUCAAGGGGUUAAAGGAGCAAUUAGCUCUAAGAUGAGUCUGCGUCCGAUUAGCUAGUUGGUGAGGUAAUGGCUCACCAAGGCAAAGAUCGGUAACUGGUCUGAGAGGAUGACCAGUCACACUGGAACUGAGACACGGUCCAGACUCCUACGGGAGGCAGCAGUAGGGAAUAUUGCACAAUGGACGAAAGUCUGAUGCAGCGACGCCGCGUGAGUGAUGAAGGCCUUCGGGUUGUAAAACUCUGUGAUAAGGGAAGAUGAUGACGGUACCUUAUCAGAAAAGACCGGCUAACUUCGUGCCAGCCGCCGCAGUAAUAC
rnacentral:rRNA from 1 species